GGGAGUUCGCCGGAGUUGGAGAGCCGGGGCAGACUGUAAAUCUGUUGCAUAUGCUGAAUAGGUUCGAAUCCUAUCGCUCCCACAA
rnacentral:tRNA from 1 species